UACGUAGGGUGCAAGCGUUGUCCGGAAUUAUUGGGCGUAAAGAGCUCGUAGGCGGUCUGUCGCGUCGGCUGUGAAAACCUGAGGCUCAACCUCAGGCCUGCAGUCGAUACGGGCAGACUAGAGUUCGGUAGGGGAGUCUGGAAUUCCUGGUGUAGCGGUGAAAUGCGCAGAUAUCAGGAGGAACACCGGUGGCGAAGGCGGGACUCUGGGCCGAUACUGACGCUGAGGAGCGAAAGCGUGGGGAGCAAACAGG
rnacentral:rRNA from 1 species